rnacentral:rRNA from 1 species
CCUACGGGAGGCAGCAGUGGGGAAUAUUGCACAAUGGGGGAAACCCUGAUGCAGCAACGCCGCGUGAGUGAAGAAGUAUUUCGAUAUGUAAAGCUCUAUCAGCAGGGAAGAAGAUGAUGGUAGUUGAGUAAUAAGCACCGGCUAACUACGUGCCAGCAGCCGCGGUAAUACGAAGGGGGCAAGCGUUAUCCGGAUUUACUGGGUGGAAAGGGAGCGUAGACGGCGUAGCAAGUCUGAAGUGAAAGCCCAAGGCUCAACCAUAGGACUGCUUUGGAAACUGUUUGGCUAGAGUGCUGGAGAGGUAAGCGGAAUUCCUAGUGUAGCGGUGAAAUGCGUAGAGAUUAGGAGGAACACCAGUGGCGAAGGCGGCUUACUGGACAGUAACUGACGUUGAGGCUCGAAAGCGUGGGGAGCAAACAGGAUUAGAUACCCCUGUAGUC